GCCUGGGUAGCUCAGUCGGUUAAGCAUCUGACUUCAGCUCAGGUCAUGAUCUUGCAGUUUGUGAGUUCGAGCCCACAUCGGGCUCUGUGAGUUCGAACCCCACAUCGGGCU
rnacentral:tRNA from 1 species